rnacentral:snRNA from 1 species
GAAUGUGAGGGCGAUCUGGCUGUGACAUCUUGUCACCCCAUUGAUCACCAGGGUUGAUUUGGCUGAUUUGGCUGGCUACGUGGGUGUCCCCUUCCUCCCUCACCACUCCACAUGCGUCCCUCCCGAAGCUGCGAGUUCGGUCGAAGAGGGCCACCAUCCCCGAUAGAGGAGGACCAGUCUUCGGUCAAGGGUAUACGAGUAGCUGCGCUCCCCUGCUAGAACCUCCAAACAAGCUCUCAUAUAAUUUUUAACUUACACAAAAGUUGCAAGACUAGUACAAGGAACUUCCGUAUACCUUUAUAC